UUCCAGACAAAUCACUUUCAGGAUACAACAAAUAUUGGAAUUAUAGAGUUUAGCAAAAACUGAAAUUUCCUUAGAAUUUCUACAAGGAAAUUGUAUGAUAUAUUGAGAAGAAGAGUUAGGGAGAGAUUGAUUUAUGUUGUGUUUAGAAGUCCCACGUUGUGGGAUUUUUAUACAUUGAGUGUCAAAAGUACCCAUUUGAUUCUGGUGAAGAGGUG
rnacentral:lncRNA from 1 species